UGAAAAUUACAUGGAGACAAAGCAGCUGCCUGCACUUCAGAGCUAUUCUGAAUGGAAACUCAAUGUCUGUCAAAGUACUGCUGUGGUAUUUACCAAGAGAUGAAGCACCUUUUUACCAAGAUAGUAGUGUUCUGAAGGGCUUACAGGAACAAAAACCACAGUUUGGAACUUUGAGCACCUUAUCUGGCACUCAUAUGAGGUGCAAAAUGCUUGCAGUUGAAAGCACUGAGGUAGGAAGAGUAAGUUAAACACAGUUUUCCAGUCCUGAAUGAACUCAGCAGUUCUGUAACAAUGUCUUAAAAGGCUUUAAAAGGUGGCUGCCAUUGCAAUAGCUAGUGAAGAUCUUAGAAUUGAGUGGCUUUCAGGAGGCAGAGAUAUUUGGAGAGAUUCUUGUUUAUCAGUCCAUCAGGCCUUGUGAAAAUGGGUGCUUCAGGGUACACAUGAAAACAUCUGUGGGAUUACUGGAUGUGUGCCUUUAGAUUCCUUCCAUAUUUUACUCUCUCACUGCAUCUGUCAGUAAGUUAAUAGAUGUUUCACAACUGAAAUAAGUUGUGACAUUUGGAGAAUGUCAGCCAUUAUAGGAAGUAAUACUCCUCCUGUCUUCUAUUUCACCUUGAAUCUGGUAGCCACAACAUGAAGCAUCAUGUUUUCCUGGAGACUUUGUAAACUGAGGAUUGCAUCAUCCAGUUUGUACUCUAGAGCAUGCUUAGAUAUAAUCCUUUCCAUUACAGUGCAGAAAUGGUGACAAAGGGUUGUCCUGUAACUUACGCUGUUUUUAAGAGAAAACAGCUGGAUGCUGGACUGGAUAACUGCUUUGUAGAGUAACCUUUGUUUUCUUUUCAGAAGAAAUAGAUAAUGCUGUGAAGUGACAAACACUUCCUAUCUCAGUUUCUAAGCAAUCCUAAUGUCAGCAGUUCUUCAACAAUAGUAAAUAAGGAAAUGUAUGAAACUUUAGUU